GACGAACGCUGGCGGCGUGCUUAACACAUGCAAGUCGAACGGAAAGGCCCUGCUUUUGUGGGGUGCUCGAGUGGCGAACGGGUGAGUAACACGUGAGUAACCUGCCCUUGACUUUGGGAUAACUUCAGGAAACUGGGGCUAAUACCGGAUAGGAGCUCCUGCUACAUGGUGGGGGUUGGAAAGUUUCGGCGGUUGGGGAUGGACUCGCGGCUUAUCAGCUUGUUGGUGGGGUAGUGGCUUACCAAGGCUUUGACGGGUAGCCGGCCUGAGAGGGUGACCGGCCACAGUGGGACUGAGAUACGGCCCAGACUCCUACGGGAGGCAGCAGUGGGGAAUAUUGCACAAUGGGCGGAAGCCUGAUGCAGCAACGCCGCGUGCGGGAUGACGGCCUUCGGGUUGUAAACCGCUUUCGCCUGUGACGAAGCGUGAGUGACGGUAAUGGGUAAAGAAGCACCGGCUAACUACGUG
rnacentral:rRNA from 1 species